UAGAGUGUAACUCAGUGGCAGAGUACUUGUCUAGCAUGCAUAAGGCUCUGAGUUCAAUUCCUAGUACUUAAA
rnacentral:tRNA from 1 species